rnacentral:rRNA from 1 species
AGCUAAUACCGGAUAAUAUUUUGAACCGCAUGGUUCAAAAGUGAAAGACGGUCUUGCUGUCACUUAUAGAUGGAUCCGCGCUGCAUUAGCUAGUUGGUAAGGUAACGGCUUACCAAGGCAACGAUGCAUAGCCGACCUGAGAGGGUGAUCGGCCACACUGGAACUGAGACACGGUCCAGACUCCUACGGGAGGCAGCAGUAGGGAAUCUUCCGCAAUGGGCGAAAGCCUGACGGAGCAACGCCGCGUGAGUGAUGAAGGUCUUCGGAUCGUAAAACUCUGUUAUUAGGGAAGAACAUAUGUGUAAGUAACUGUGCACAUCUUGACGGUACCUAAUCAGAAAGCCACGGCUAACUACGUGCCAGCAGCCGCGGUAAUACGUAGGUGGCAAGCGUUAUCCGGAAUUAUUGGGCGUAAAGCGCGCGUAGGCGGUUUUUUAAGUCUGAUGUGAAAGCCCACGGCUCAACCGUGGAGGGUCAUUGGAAACUGGAAAACUUGAGUGCAGAAGAGGAAAGUGGAAUUCCAUGUGUAGCGGUGAAAUGCGCAGAGAUAUGGAGGAACACCAGUGGCGAAGGCGACUUUCUGGUCUGUAACUGACGCUGAUGUGCGAAAGCGUGGGGAUCAAACAGGAUUAGAUACCCUGGUAGUCCACGCCGUAAACGAUGAGUGCUAAGUGUUAGGGGGUUUCCAGCCCCUUAGUGCUGCAGCUAACGCAUUAAGCACUCCGCCUGGGGAGUACGACCGCAAGGUUGAAACUCAAAGGAAUUGACGGGGACCCGCACAAGCGGUGGAGCAUGUGGUUUAAUUCGAAGCAACGCGAAGAACCUUACCAAAUCUUGACAUCCUUUGACAACUCUAGAGAUAGAGCCUUCCCCUUCGGGGGACAAAGUGACAGGUGGUGCAUGGUUGUCGUCAGCUCGUGUCGUGAGAUGUUGGGUUAAGUCCCGCAACGAGCGCAACCCUUAAGCUUAGUUGCCAUCAUUAAGUUGGGCACUCUAAGUUGACUGCCGGUGACAAACCGGAGGAAGGUGGGGAUGACGUCAAAUCAUCAUGCCCCUUAUGAUUUGGGCUACACACGUGCUACAAUGGACAAUACAAAGGGCAGCGAAACCGCGAGGUCAAGCAAAUCCCAUAAAGUUGUUCUCAGUUCGGAUUGUAGUCUGCAACUCGACUACAUGAAGCUGGAAUCGCUAGUAAUCGUAGAUCAGCAUGCUACGGUGAAUACGUUCCCGGGUCUUGUACACACCGCCCGUCACACCACGAGAGUUUGUAACACCCGAAGCCGGUGGAGUAACCUUUUAGGAGCUAGCCGUCGAAGGUGGGACAAAUGAUUGGGGUGAAGUCGUAACAAGGUAGCCGUAUCGGAAGGUGCGGCUGGAUCACCUCCUUUCUAAGGA